rnacentral:rRNA from 1 species
ACUCCUACGGGAGGCAGCAGUGGGGAAUAUUGCACAAUGGGCGCAAGCCUGAUGCAGCCAUUCGCGUGUAUGAGAAGGCAUCGGGCUUGGUUAAGAUACUUUUCAGCAGUGAGGAAGGUGGAGUCGUUAAUAGCGGCCUCAUUUGACGUUAGCUGCAGAAGAAGCACCGGCUAACUCCGUGCCAGCAGCCGCGGUAAUACGGAGGGUGCGAGCGUUAAUCGGAAUUACUGGGCGUAAAGCGCAUGUAGGUGGUUUGUUAAGUCAGAUGUGAAAGCCCGGGGCUCAACCUCGGAAUUGCAUUUGAAACUGGCAGACUAGAGUACUGUAGAGGGGGGUAGAAUUUCAGGUGUAGCGGUGAAAUGCGUAGAGAUCUGAAGGAAUACCGGUGGCGAAGGCGGCCCCCUGGACAGAUACUGACACUCAGAUGCGAAAGCGUGGGGAGCAAACAGGAUUAGAUACCCUGGUAGGAUAGCGU